UACAGAGGAGCCAAGCGUUGUCCGGAUUGACUGGGCGUAAAGCGCACGCAGGCGGCACCGCGCGUGGGGUGUGAAAUCUGGCCGCUUAACGGCCAGGCGCCAUCCCAUACGGCGGAGCUGGAGUGAUGCAGAGGUCGAUGGAAUUGCCGGUGUAGUGGUGAAAUGCGUAGAGAUCGGCAGGAACGCCCAGGGGUAAACCAGUCGACUGGGCAUCUACUGACGCUGAGGUGCGAGAGCGUGGGGAGCGAACCGG
rnacentral:rRNA from 1 species